rnacentral:snRNA from 1 species
AAACUGAGUCACCACGAUUAAAUGUUUUCUUUUAUAAGAGUUGUCAUGGUCAGUCCAAGGCUUAUCUAUUGCAUUCCAGAUGUGUUGACCCCUGGGAUUUCCCCAAAUGUGGAACACUGGACUGCAUAGUUUGUGGUAGUGGGGACCACACUGGCACUUUCUUC